GAUGAACGCUGGCGGCGUGCCUAAUACAUGCAAGUCGAGCGAACGGACGAGAAGCUUGCUUCUCUGUUGUUAGCGGCGGACGGGUGAGUAACACGUGUAUCACCUACCUAUAAGAUUGGUAUAACUUCGGGAAACCGGAGCUAAUACCGGAUAAUAUUUUGAACCGCAUGGUUCAAUAGUGAAAUACGGUCUUGCUGUCACUUAUAGCUGCAUCCGCGCUGCAUUAGCUAGUUGGUAAGGUAACGGCUUACCAAGGCAACGAUGCAUAGCCGACCUGAGAGGGUGAUCGGCCACAGUGGAACUGAGACACGGUCCAGAGUCCUAGGGGAGGCAGCAGUAGGGAAUCUACCGCAAUGGGCGAAAGCCUGACGGAGCAACGCCGCGGGAGUGAUGAAGGUCUUCGGAUCGUAAAACUCUGUUAUUAGGGAAGAACAUAUGUGUAAGUAACGGAGCACAUGUUGACGGUACCUAAGCAGAAAGCCACGGCUAACUACGU
rnacentral:rRNA from 1 species